rnacentral:rRNA from 1 species
GGGUUGUGAGGUUAAGCGACUAAGCGUACACGGUGGAUGCCCUGGCAGUCAGAGGCGAUGAAGGACGUGCUAAUCUGCGAAAAGCGCCGGCGAGGUGAUAUGAACCUUUGACCCGGCGAUGUCCGAAUGGGGAAACCCAGUGCAAUCCGUUGCACUAUCGUUAACUGAAUACAUAGGUUAACGAGGCGAACCGGGGGAACUGAAACAUCUAAGUACCCCGAGGAAAAGAAAUCAACCGAGAUUCCCCCAGUAGCGGCGAGCGAACGGGGAGCAGCCCGGAGUCUGAAUCAGCUUGUGUGUUAGUGGAACGGUCUGGAAAGUCCGACGGUACAGGGUGAUAGUCCCGUACACGAAAGCACACAUGCUGUGAACUCGAAGAGUAGGGCGGGACACGUGGUAUCCUGUCUGAAUAUGGGGGGACCAUCCUCCAAGGCUAAAUACUCCUGACUGACCGAUAGUGAACCAGUACCGUGAGGGAAAGGCGAAAAGAACCCCGGCGAGGGGAGUGAAAAAGAACCUGAAACCGUGUACGUACAAGCAGUGGGAGCCUCUUUAUGGGGUGACUGCGUACCUUUUGUAUAAUGGGUCAGCGACUUAUAUUCUGUAGCAAGGUUAACCGUAUAGGGGAGCCGAAGGGAAACCGAGUCUUAACUGGGCGUUAAGUUGCAGGGUAUAGACCCGAAACCCGGUGAUCUAGCCAUGGGCAGGUUGAAGGUUGGGUAACACUAACUGGAGGACCGAACCGACUAAUGUUGAAAAAUUAGCGGAUGACCUGUGGCUGGGGGUGAAAGGCCAAUCAAACCGGGAGAUAGCUGGUUCUCCCCGAAAGCUAUUUAGGUAGCGCCUCGUGAACUCAUCUUCGGGGGUAGAGCACUGUUUCGGCUAGGGGGCCAUCCCGGCUUACCAACCCGAUGCAAACUACGAAUACCGAAGAAUGUUAUCACGGGAGACACACGGCGGGUGCUAACGUCCGUCGUGAAGAGGGAAACAACCCAGACCGCCAGCUAAGGUCCCAAAGUCAUGGUUAAGUGGGAAACGAUGUGGGAAGGCACAGACAGCCAGGAUGUUGGCUUAGAAGCAGCCAUCAUUUAAAGAAAGCGUAAUAGCUCACUGGUCGAGUCGGCCUGCGCGGAAGAUGUAACGGGGCUAAACCAUGCACCGAAGCUGCGGCAGCGACGCUUAGGCGUUGUUGGGUAGGGGAGCGUUCUGUAAGCCGUUGAAGGUGUCCUGUGAGGGGUGCUGGAGGUAUCAGAAGUGCGAAUGCUGACAUAAGUAACGAUAAAGCGGGUGAAAAGCCCGCUCGCCGGAAGACCAAGGGUUCCUGUCCAACGUUAAUCGGGGCAGGGUGAGUCGACCCCUAAGGCGAGGCCGAAAGGCGUAGUCGAUGGGAAACAGGUUAAUAUUCCUGUACUUGGUGUUACUGCGAAGGGGGGACGGAGAAGGCUAUGUCAGCCGGGCGACGGUUGUCCCGGUUUAAGCAUGUAGGCGGAGGUUCCAGGUAAAUCCGGUACCUUGUUAACGCUGAGGUGUGAUGACGAGGCACUACGGUGCUGAAGUGAUAAAUGCCCUGCUUCCAGGAAAAGCCUCUAAGCAUCAGGUAACACGAAAUCGUACCCCAAACCGACACAGGUGGUCAGGUAGAGAAUACCAAGGCGCUUGAGAGAACUCGGGUGAAGGAACUAGGCAAAAUGGUGCCGUAACUUCGGGAGAAGGCACGCUGAUAUGUAGGUGAAGCCCCUGCGGGCGGAGCUGAAAUCAGUCGAAGAUACCAGCUGGCUGCAACUGUUUAUUAAAAACACAGCACUGUGCAAACACGAAAGUGGACGUAUACGGUGUGACGCCUGCCCGGUGCCGGAAGGUUAAUUGAUGGGGUUAGCGGCAACGCGAAGCUCUUGAUCGAAGCCCCGGUAAACGGCGGCCGUAACUAUAACGGUCCUAAGGUAGCGAAAUUCCUUGUCGGGUAAGUUCCGACCUGCACGAAUGGCGUAAUGAUGGCCAGGCUGUCUCCACCCGAGACUCAGUGAAAUUGAACUCGCUGUGAAGAUGCAGUGUACCCGCGGCAAGACGGAAAGACCCCGUGAACCUUUACUAUAGCUUGACACUGAACACUGGUCCUUGAUGUGUAGGAUAGGUGGGAGGCUUUGAAGCGUGGACGCCAGUCUGCGUGGAGCCAACCUUGAAAUACCACCCUUUAAUGGCUGGUGUUCUAACGUAGACCCGUAAUCCGGGUUGCGGACAGUGUCUGGUGGGUAGUUUGACUGGGGCGGUCUCCUCCCAAAGAGUAACGGAGGAGCACGAAGGUUGGCUAAUCCUGGUCGGACAUCAGGAGGUUAGUGCAAUGGCAUAAGCCAGCUUGACUGCGAGCGUGACGGCGCGAGCAGGUGCGAAAGCAGGUCAUAGUGAUCCGGUGGUUCUGAAUGGAAGGGCCAUCGCUCAACGGAUAAAAGGUACUCCGGGGAUAACAGGCUGAUACCGCCCAAGAGUUCAUAUCGACGGCGGUGUUUGGCACCUCGAUGUCGGCUCAUCACAUCCUGGGGCUGAAGUAGGUCCCAAGGGUAUGGCUGUUCGCCAUUUAAAGUGGUACGCGAGCUGGGUUUAGAACGUCGUGAGACAGUUCGGUCCCUAUCUGCCGUGGGCGCUGGAGAAUUGAGGGGGGCUGCUCCUAGUACGAGAGGACCGGAGUGGACGCAUCACUGGUGUUCGGGUUGUCAUGCCAAUGGCACUGCCCGGUAGCUAAAUGCGGAAGAGAUAAGUGCUGAAAGCAUCUAAGCACGAAACUUGCCCCGAGAUGAGUUCUCCCUGAGACCUUGAGUCUCCUGAAGGAACGUUGAAGACGACGACGUUGAUAGGUCGGGUGUGUAAGCGCAGCGAUGCGUUGAGCUAACCGAUACUAAUGAACCGUGAGGCUUAACCUUACAACGCCGAAGCUGUU